AAUUCAUUCUUAUUAAGUACUAAAAUAUUACAAAGAAAAAGCCACAGGUUGAAAAAGAUUUAUUUACUCUUCCACACAAACAAAAGAAAUGAAAACUAAAAUGUUUCUGAAUCAUCUAUUACCACUGCUAAUGAUUGCUCUCUUCAUUGUACCAAUGAUUUCUGGUCAAGAUAAUAAUCCCCGAUGUGUGAAGAGAUGUAAAAGCAAGUCCCAUUGCAAUAAAACAUGCAAAUCUAUGGGGCAUACAGGAGGCUAUUGUCAAAAAUACAUAGUUGGUCUUCAUAUUGAAAAUCUUUGUUGCUGUAAUAUUUUUGAGGCUCCCAAUCCCAAUUCCAGUCCAAUCAUUUCUGAUUAAUCUCUCAUUUAUAUGUACUAUCAAUUAAAAAUAUAAUAUAAAUAACAUAUAUUCAAAUUAUAUAAUAAUUAACAUUA